UGGAAAACUUGUGGAUUCCUCCUUGGAGGUCUCAAAUUGUGCCGAUAUCUGAAAACUGUUCUGGAGAGUGGGUUGGCAGGGUGGGUGUCUGGAAUGAUAGGGGUUAUCCUCCUCGGAAGUGUGAAAGCUCAUUUUUUCUCAAUCAAGUCAAUGCAUGGUCAACAAGUCCAAUUCGUGAUUCAGUUAGUAGCAAUCCCAAAAACAGAAGCAAAACUCCAAAGUCGGAAUCAGUUCAAGACUGACAGUAACAAGAUUCUACAGUGUAGUCUGCGGGAUCCUGGUGAUACCCACUGGUACCAGUAAAGAGUUCUGAAACAAAGCCAGGUCAGUUCAAGACUCAUGAUACCAAGAUUCUAUAGUGUAGUCGGCGGGAUCCUAGUGAUACCCAGUGGUACCAGUAAAGAGUCCUUAAACAAAGCCAGCCCAGUGCAAGACUCAUGAUAACAAGAUUCUACAGUGUAGUUGGGGGGAUCCUAGUGAUACCCAAUGGUACCAGUAAAGAGUUUUUAAACAAAGCCAGGUCAGUUCAAGACUCAUGAUAACAAGAUUCUACAGUGUAGUUGGCGGGAUCCUAGUGAUACCCACUGGUACCAGUAAAGAGUUCCUUAUAAAAGCCAGGUCAGUUCAAGACUCAUGAUACCAAGAUUCUACAGUGUAGUUGUCGGGAUCCUAGUGAUACCCAGUGGUACCAGUAAAGAGUCCUUAAACAAAGCCAGGUCAGUGCAAGACUCAUAAUAACAAGAUUCUACAGUGUAGUUGUCGGGAUCCUAGUGAUACCCAGUGGUACCAGUAAAGAGUUCUGAAACAAAGCCAGCCCAGCGUAAGACUCAUGAUAACAAGAUUCUACAGUGCAGUCGGCGGGAUCCACUUGUGUGUUCACUUCUGUGCCAUGUCAGAUGUUUUCUGGCUUAUUGGGAAGGUGGUGGAGGAGGAGAAUGAAGGUGUAACGUAGAGGGGUACAUCUUGAUCACAAUUAAGUGGUUGACUCUCUUAAGCUUCUUUGAAUUGCAUUUUGUUGUACUUUUUAUUUAGCCAGGAUGUAAUUAACAAAAAAAAGAGCAGUUAAUCAAGUAAAAAAUAACAAGGCAAGUGCAAUAGUGUGACUCCGUGAGAGUCAACAUUCGACCCCCAUUGUGAAUUUCAUUUUUUUUUUUACAUGCAAAUGAAUGCUUGCAGAAUAAACACUGAUUGUAACUUUUGUGACUAGCAAAACAGCAACAGAUGAUGCUCAUUGUUGUAUCCCACCCACCGCCUCCAAACUUCUUAUUUACAGCUCUGACAGGGCAGACAAAAGCAGGCAACAUUACAACAGUGAGGAAAAUAAAAAAAAUAAAAAACCAACAAAAAAAUAAGAGUAAGGAAAGGGAGGGAGUGUGGGGGUCUAAUGGUGAAUUGUUUUUCAACACCCACGGAGCGUAAAUCAUUCCAAACAAGACAAUCAAAGCAUAUUAAAUUGUAUACAAUCGUAACGUUAGCCUCAGGAGCACAAUGCAGAACUCCCACUUAGCAACAGCCUGGUAACAGCCAUAGCUGCACACGUUUUGGGAUCUGGUGGGCAAGCGCCGGCUUUCAGAGGGGGGACCUGUGCUCUGUUUCAAAAAAAAGAAAACAAAGUGGGGAAAAUGGAACUUGAAACUGGCCCCAGUCAGAAUCUCUGGGGGCCGUGAAGAGUUCUGUUUUCUUCACCUAAGCUUUCUGGUAUUACUGGGACUUAAAAAAAAAA